UACGUAGGCAGCAAGCGUUGUUCGGAGUUACUGGGCGUAAAGGGUGUGUAGGCGGUCUUCUAAGUUUGGUGUGAAAUCUCCCGGCUCAACUGGGAGGGUGCGCCGAAAACUGGGAGGCUAGAGUGCGGGAUGGGAGAGUGGAAUUCCUGGUGUGAGCGGUGAAAUGCGUAGAUAUCUGGAGGAACACCGGUGGCGAAGGCGGCAUUCUGGACCGACAUUGACGCUGAGGAGCGAAAGCCAGGG
rnacentral:rRNA from 1 species